rnacentral:rRNA from 1 species
UCGAGCGGUAGAGAGAAGCUUGCUUCUCUUGAGAGCGGCGGACGGGUGAGUAAUGCCUAGGAAUCUGCCUGGUAGUGGGGGAUAACGUUCGGAAACGGACGCUAAUACCGCAUACGUCCUACGGGAGAAAGCAGGGGACCUUCGGGCCUUGCGCUAUCAGAUGAGCCUAGGUCGGAUUAGCUAGUUGGUGGGGUAAUGGCUCACCAAGGCGACGAUCCGUAACUGGUCUGAGAGGAUGAUCAGUCACACUGGAACUGAGACACGGUCCAGACUCCUACGGGAGGCAGCAGUGGGGAAUAUUGGACAAUGGGCGAAAGCCUGAUCCAGCCAUGCCGCGUGUGUGAAGAAGGUCUUCGGAUUGUAAAGCACUUUAAGUUGGGAGGAAGGGUUGUAGAUUAAUACUCUGCAAUUUUGACGUUACCGACAGAAUAAGCACCGGCUAACUCUGUGCCAGCAGCCGCGGUAAUACAGAGGGUGCAAGCGUUAAUCGGAAUUACUGGGCGUAAAGCGCGCGUAGGUGGUUUGUUAAGUUGGAUGUGAAAUCCCCGGGCUCAACCUGGGAACUGCAUUCAAAACUGACUGACUAGAGUAUGGUAGAGGGUGGUGGAAUUUCCUGUGUAGCGGUGAAAUGCGUAGAUAUAGGAAGGAACACCAGUGGCGAAGGCGACCACCUGGACUAAUACUGACACUGAGGUGCGAAAGCGUGGGGAGCAAACAGGAUUAGAU